GUGCUCACUCUGGCUGCACUGACACUAAAAUUGGAAUGACAGAGAUGAUCACAGGCCCUGCACAAGGGUGACACGCAAAUUCAUUUUAUUUUAAAAAUAAUU
rnacentral:snRNA from 1 species